AUGGUGAAGUCGAAGGGGGAAGACAAGGCCGAUGCGGUAGCGGUAGCAUCCCUCAAGCUGGACGUCGACCUGCUGGACGAGAAAGUGGAAGCCAUCCACUCGGAAGUGGAGGGGAUUCACACCAAGGUCACCGGGAUCAAGAAGCAGCUGACAAGACUUGAAGAACUGCUGCUCAAGCUUGAUACGAAAGGAAAAGAGAAGGAGAAGGAACCGGAGCACAGGGAGCCAGAGCGCCAACAACAACCACUCCCUCCCCAACCUCCACCCCCACCUCCACCUCAACAACCACAGCAACCCAACGCGCCCCCAAACAGAACAUCUCCCCUCCUGGACAGAGGAGUUCCGAUCUGGCGACACAUGGGGAACGAGUUCUCACGACCAACACCCCAGUACGCUGAACUAGACAGUCCAAAUAUGCAGUUCAGUCAGUGGCAAGAGAACUUCGAUGCUGCACCAAACCAAAACCCACUCCCAUACUAUGGCGAGCAACACCCCAUGUUUGCAUAUCAACCACCCCAGCCACCUCCACCUCCCCAUUAUUACCACCCACUAGAACAAGCCCAUGACCAACACCUACACCACCCACAAUACUUACCCCAGCAACGGUACCCUCCCCAAUUUCAGUACCCCAUCCCAUAA
rnacentral:rRNA from 1 species